rnacentral:rRNA from 1 species
CAGCAGCCGCGGGAAUACGGAGGAUCCGAGCGUUAUCCGGAAUUAUUGGGUUUAAAGGGUGCGUAGGCGGAUAGAUAAGUCAGUGGUGAAAGACGGUGGCUCAACCAUCGCAGUGCCGUUGAUACUGUUUAUCUUGAAUAUGGAUGAGGUAGGCGGAAUGUGGCAAGUAGCGGUGAAAUGCAUAGAUAUGCCACAGAACACCGAUUGCGAAGGCAGCUUACCAAGGCAAAAUUGACGCUGAGGCACGAAAGCGUGGGGAUCGAACAGGAUUAGAUACCCCGGUAGUCCCUGUCUCUUAUAC